AUUGAACGCUGGCGGCAGGCCUAACACAUGCAAGUCGAGCGGUAACAGAGAGUAGCUUGCUACUUUGCUGACGAGCGGCGGACGGGUGAGUAAUGCUUGGGAAUAUGCCCGGUAGCGGGGGAUAGCCCAGAGAAAUUUGGAUUAAUACCGCAUACGCCCUACGGGGGAAAGCAGGGGAUCUUCGGACCUUGCACUAUCGGAUGAGCCUGCGUGAGAUUAGCUUGUUGGUGAGGUAAAGGCUCACCAAGGCGACGAUCUCUAGCUGGUCUGAGAGGAUGAUCAGCCACACCGGAACUGAGACACGGUCCGGACUCCUACGGGAGGCAGCAGUGGGGAAUAUUGCACAAUGGGCGAAAGCCUGAUGCAGCCAUGCCGCGUGUGUGAAGAAGGCCUUAGGGUUGUAAAGCACUUUCAGCGAGGAGGAAAGGUUGGUCGCUAAUACCGGCUAGCUGUGACGUUACUCGCAGAAGAAGCACCGGCUAACUCCG
rnacentral:rRNA from 1 species